CGGACGUGACAGAAGAACAAAAGAAAUUUUCCGUCACGUCACAACCACUAACCAAAUCUUGCGUAAAUAUUGAAAAUAUGCACAAAAGCACAAUGUAGUUGAGUUGCAACAUCAGAGGAAUAGCAACAGAUACUCCCGCUCAGCACAAAUAUGAAGAGAAGUGAGCUGGCGCUGUGGUGGCUGCUGGGUCUGCUAAUACAGGUGCUGAGCGCGCUGGCCUGCAAGCGCAAGGCGUCUUGCCGACCGCCGCGCUGCCCGGGCGGCUGCAAGCCUAAGUACUGGUGACCUCUGUUCCUGCCGCACUGCACGCUGCUCCUGCCGCACUGCACGCUGCUCCUGCCGCACUGCACGCUGCUCCUGCUGCACUGCACGCUGCUCCUGCUGCACUACCCGCCGCCCGCGAGUGGGAACUGAUGGCGAUGGGGCUGUUCGUGGUGCUGGCGCGCCUGUGGUGGGCGGCGGCGUGGCUGGCGGCGGCGGCGCGCGCGUGCAAGCGGCGCGUCAUCUGCCGCCCCCCGCCCGGCGGCCGGCCCGGCUGCGGCGGCGGACGGUGACCACGCCACUACGAUGCAGUGGUACCAACUUCAAGAUUACCACAACUUCUAAAAGAAACCUGGAC